UCCGUAGGCGGUGCGGCAAGUCGAUAGUGAAAUCCCUGGGCUUAACUCAGGGGCUGCUAACGAAACUGCCGUGCUAGAGUGUGAGAGAGGCGAGUGGAAUUACGGGUGUAGCGGUGAAAUGUGUAGAUAUCCGUAGGAACAUCCGAGGCGAAAGCGGCUCGCUGGAUCACAACUGACGCUGAGGGACGAAAGCUAGGGGAGCAAACAGGAUUAGAUACCCUGGUAGUCCUAGCCCUAAACCAUCAGGACUUGGGGUUUGCCCUGUACGGGGCAAGUCCCGUAGCUAACGCGUUAAGUCCUGCGCCUGGGGAGUACGGUCGCAAGGCUGAA
rnacentral:rRNA from 1 species